rnacentral:ncRNA from 1 species
UUUGCACUCAGAGAAAGGCGAUAAAAGGGAACCGGGUGCGAAUCCCGGACAGUCCCGCUGCUGUGAAACUCCGAACAACGUCCUGAAACGAUCUGAAUGGCCACUGGCGGCAAACGAUAACGUCGGGAAGGCAUCAGGACGGGAGUCAGUCAGAAGACCUGCCGGUUCAGG